GAAUUUUUGAUUAACGCCUGCCGUAAGGUGGGUCAUUUGGAAG
rfam:Yersinia pseudotuberculosis IP32953 genome, complete sequence.